AGAGUUUGAUCAUGGCUCAGAACGAACGCUGGCGGCGUGGAUAAGACAUGCAAGUCGGACGCUGAUUGCGAGGUAGCAAUAUUUCGCAGUUGGAGUGGCGCAAGGGUGCUUAACACGUGGGUAAUCUGCCGUAAAGACCGGGACAACUUGCUGAAAGGCGAGCUAAUACCGGAUGUGAUGGUUGGGAGGCCUCUUCCGACCUUCGAAGCUGGGGACCGCAAGGCCUGGCACUUUACGAUGAGCCCGCGGCCUAUCAGGUAGUUGGCGGGGUAACAGCCCACCAAGCCUAUGACGGGUAGCUGGUCUGAGAGGACGACCAGCCACACUGGAACUGAGACACGGUCCAGACACCUACGGGUGGCAGCAGUCGAGAAUUUUUCACAAUGGGCGCAAGCCUGAUGGAGCGACGCCGCGUGGGGGAUGAAGGGCUUCGGCUCGUAAACCCCUGUCAUUUGUGACCAAGGUUGCCGGUUGAACAAACCGGCAGUUUGAUGGUAGCGAAAGAGGAAGGGACGGCUAACUCUGUGCCAGCAGCCGCGGUAAUACAGAGGUCCCAAGCGUUGUUCGGAUUCACUGGGCGUAAAGGGUGCGUAGGUGGUUCGGUAAGUCUGAUGUGAAAUCUCCGAGCUCAACUCGGAAACGGCAUCGGAAACUGCCUGGCUAGAGGAUUGGAGGGGAGACUGGAAUUCUCGGUGUAGCAGUGAAAUGCGUAGAUAUCGAGAGGAACACCGGUGGCGAAGGCGAGUCUCU
rnacentral:rRNA from 1 species